rnacentral:rRNA from 1 species
AUUGAACGCUGGCGGCAUGCUUUACACAUGCAAGUCGAACGGGUUGGGAGCUUGCUUCCAAUCUAGUGGCGAACGGGUGAGUAAUACAUCGGAACGUACCGUGUAGUGGGGAUAACGUAGCGAAAGUUACGCUAAUACCGCAUACGAUCUACGGAUGAAAGCAGGGGACCUUCGGGCCUUGUGCUAUACGAGCGGCCGAUGUCUGAUUAGCUGGUUGGUGAGGUAAAGGCUCACCAAGGCGACGAUCAGUAGCGGGUCUGAGAGGAUGAUCCGCCACACCGGGACUGAGACACGGCCCAGACUCCUACGGGAGGCAGCAGUGGGGAAUUUUGGACAAUGGGCGAAAGCCUGAUCCAGCCAUGCCGCGUGAGUGAAGAAGGCCUUCGGUUGUAAAGCUCUUUCGGUUGGGGAAGGAAAGUACGCACAGGUUAAUACCUUGUGUGGAUGACGGUACCGUAAGAAGAAGCACCGGCUAACUACGUGCCAGCAGCCGCGGUAAU